rnacentral:rRNA from 1 species
GGGGGGAAUAUUGGACAAUGGGCGAAAGCCUGAUCCAGCCAUGCCGCGUGUGUGAAGAAGGUCUUCGGAUUGUAAAGCACUUUAAGUUGGGAGGAAGGGCAGUAAGCUAAUACCUUGCUGUUUUGACGUUACCGACAGAAUAAGCACCGGCUAACUUCGUGCCAGCAGCCGCGGUAAUACGAAGGGUGCAAGCGUUAAUCGGAAUUACUGGGCGUAAAGCGUGCGUAGGUGGUUGUGUAAGUUGAAGGUGAAAUCCCCGGGCUCAACCUGGGAACUGCCUCCAAAACUGCAUGACUAGAGUACGGUAGAGGGUAGUGGAAUUUCCUGUGUAGCGGUGAAAUGCGUAGAUAUAGGAAGGAACACCAGUGGCGAAGGCGACUACCUGGACUGAUACUGACACUGAGGUGCGAAAGCGUGGGGAGCAAACAGGAUUAGAAACCCUGGUAGUCC